rnacentral:tRNA from 1 species
GCCAACGUGGCUUAGUGGUAAAGCAGCGCUUUCGUAAAGCGCAGAUGGUGGUUCGAUUCCACCCGUUGGCU